rnacentral:rRNA from 1 species
AACGAACGCUGGCGGCAUGCCUAACACAUGCAAGUCGAACGAGACCUUCGGGUCUAGUGGCGCACGGGUGCGUAACGCGUGGGAACCUGCCCUUAGGUUCGGAAUAACUCCCCGAAAGGGGUGCUAAUACCGGAUAAUGUCUUCGGACCAAAGAUUUAUCGCCUUUGGAUGGGCCCGCGUUGGAUUAGCUAGUUGGUAGGGUAAAAGCCUACCAAGGCGACGAUCCAUAGCUGGUCUGAGAGGAUGAUCAGCCACACUGGGACUGAGACACGGCCCAGACUCCUACGGGAGGCAGCAGUGGGGAAUAAUGGACAAUGGGCGGAAGACUGAUGCAGCAAUGCCGCGUGAGUGAUGAAGGGCUUAGGGUUGUAAAGCUCUUUUACCCGGGAUGAUAAUGACAGUACCGGGAGAAUAAGCUCCGGCUAACUCCGU